rnacentral:rRNA from 1 species
UGCGAACGCUGGCGGCAGGCCUAACACAUGCAAGUCGAACGAAGUCUUCGGACUUAGUGGCGGACGGGUGAGUAACACGUGGGAACGUGCCCUUUGGUACGGAAUAACUCAGGGAAACUUGAGCUAAUACCGUAUGUGCCCUUCGGGGGAAAGAUUUAUCGCCAUUGGAGCGGCCCGCGUCUGUUUAGCUAGUUGGUGAGGUAAAGGCUCACCAAGGCGACGAUCAGUAGCUGGUCUGAGAGGAUGAUCAGCCACAUUGGGACUGAGACACGGCCCAAACUCCUACGGGAGGCAGCAGUGGGGAAUCUUGCGCAAUGGGCGAGAGCCUGACGCAGCCAUGCCGCGUGAAUGAUGAAGGUCUUAGGAUUGUAAAAUUCUUUCACCGGGGACGAUAAUGACGGUACCCGGAGAAGAAGCCCCGGCUAACUUCGUGCCAGCCGCCGCUGUAA